rnacentral:rRNA from 1 species
GCAAGUCGCACGAGAACGUUCUGGCUUUGCCAGGACAAGUACAGUGGCGGACGGGUGCGUAUCGCGUAGAUAACCUGCCCUUAGGCGCGGGACAAUCACGGGSCGCAAACCGUGGCUAAUACCGCACGUCGUCUGGGCCCCGCAUGGGGACCAGAUGSCGCAAAGCUUGGGGUUACCCAGGCGCCUUGGGAUGGGUCUGCGUUGGAUUAGCUUGUUGGUGAGGCAACGGCUCACCAAGGCAACGAUCCAUAGCUGGUCUGAGAGGACGAUCAGCCACACUGGGACUGAGACACGGCCCAGACUCCUACGGGAGGCAGCAGUGGGGAAUCUUGCACAAUGGGGUCACCCCUGAUGCAGCCAUGCCGCGUGGAGGAAGACACCCCUAUGGGGCGUSCGCAAACUCCUUUUCUGAAUGAAGSCGCAAACCCCUGUAGGUUCAGGGCGCGACGGUAGUUCAGGAAUAAGCACCGGCUAACUCCGUGCCAGCAGCCGCGGUAAUACGGAGGGUGCAAGCGUUGUCCGGAAUCACUGGGUGUSCGCAAAGGGUGUGCAGGCGGGGCAACAAGUCGGAUGUGSCGCAAACCCCAUGGCUCAACCAUGGAGGUGCAUUCGSCGCAAACUGUUGCUCUUGAGUCCCGGAGAGGCUGUCGGAAUUCGUGGUGUAGCGGUGSCGCAAAUGCGUAG